rnacentral:lncRNA from 1 species
UUAUUUCCAUCAACUAUUUUUUAUGGUGAGUUAGUAGCUGCAUGGUUUGGUACGAAGGCUGUUAUUUUACAUCUGCAUGCUACUCAUGUUUGGCUGGAAGGGGAUUCAAUGAAUGACAUCUCUUUACUUAAUUUAUUAUCUGAUGGCAGGCCCAGAUGUUCCGUCCUGAAUAAUAUCUAUAAUUGGAAAGCCUCAUGUUCUUCUUUUUAUGUUUCUUAUACACCAAGGGAAGUUAAUAGGGCAGC